UACAGAGGAGCCAAGCGUUGUUCGGAUUGACUGGGCGUAAAGCGCACGCAGGCGGUUGCGCGCGUGGGGUGUGAAAUCUGGCCGCUUAACGGCCAGGCGCCAUCCCAUACGGCGCGACUGGAGUGAUGCAGAGGUCGAUGGAAUUGCCGGUGUAGUGGUGAAAUGCGCAGAUAUCAGGAGGAACACCGGUGGCGAAGGCGGGUCUCUGGGCCGAUACUGACGCUGAGGAGCGAAAGCGUGGGGAGCGAACAGG
rnacentral:rRNA from 1 species